rnacentral:lncRNA from 1 species
AACUGGCAGCUUCAUUAAAUAGCACCCACAAACACCAGUCUCAACUCAACAGUGGAGGCGACUCCAGAAUGCUGGCCUGCUGCUAAGAAACUGAAGUUUGUUUUGUUGCUUUGUUGGCACAUUGGAAGUAUGCCUUUCAAAAAUGUUUGGCAUCAACAAUCUAUCCAAAGAACACCCACAUACAUAAGGUAGUCACACAAAACAUAGUGGUAAAUGUGAUUUACUAGGUUGGAAACAGUUAAAGUUCAGGCACAGAGGAUGGACAGUAUACACAGUUACAAAGCUCAGGCACAGAGGAUGGACAGUAUAACACAGUUUAAGUUAAGGCACAGAGGAUGGACAGUAUAACACAGUUACAAAGCUCAGGCACAGAGGAUGGACAGUAUAACACAGUUACAAAGUCAGGCACAGAGGAUGGACAGUAUAACACAGCUACAAAGCUCAGGCACAGGAUGGACAGUAUAACACAGUUACAAAGUUCAGGCACAGAGGAUGGACAGUAUAACACAGUUACAAAGUUCCGGCACAGAGGAUGGACAGUAUAACCCAGUUCAAAGUUAGCAC